CGUUGAAACACAGGUUCCAGUUCGAUCAUCGAAGUUAAGCAACGUUAAGCCCGGUCUGUACCUAGAUGGGUGACCGCUUGGGAAUACAAGGUGCUGUAAG
rnacentral:rRNA from 1 species